rnacentral:rRNA from 1 species
AGAGUUUGUUCCUGGCUCAGGACGAACGCUGGCGGCGCGCCUAACACAUGCAAGUCGAACGAGCGAGAGAGAGCUUGCUUUCUCGAGCGAGUGGCGAACGGGUGAGUAACGCGUGGGGAACCUGCCUCAAAGAGGGGGACAACAGUUGGAAACGACUGCUAAUACCGCAUAAGCCCACGGGUCGGCAUCGACCAGAGGGAAAAGGAGCAAUCCGCUUUGAGAUGGCCUCGCGUCCGAUUAGCUAGUUGGUGAGGUAACGGCCCACCAAGGCGACGAUCGGUAGCCGGACUGAGAGGUUGAACGGCCACAUUGGGACUGAGACACGGCCCAGACUCCUACGGGAGGCAGCAGUGGGGAAUAUUGCACAAUGGGGGAAACCCUGAUGCAGCGACGCCGCGUGGAGGAAGAAGGUCUUCGGAUUGUAAACUCCUGUUGUUGAGGAAGAUAAUGACGGUACUCAACAAGGAAGUGACGGCUAACUACGUGCCAGCAGCCGCGGUAAAACGUAGGUCACAAGCGUUGUCCGGAAUUACUGGGUGUAAAGGGAGCGCAGGCGGGAAGACAAGUUGGAAGUGAAAUCUAUGGGCUCAACCCAUAAACUGCUUUCAAAACUGUUUUUCUUGAGUAGUGCAGAGGUAGGCGGAAUUCCCGGUGUAGCGGUGGAAUGCGUAGAUAUCGGGAGGAACACCAGUGGCGAAGGCGGCCUACUGGGCACCAACUGACGCUGAGGCUCGAAAGUGUGGGUAGCAAACAGGAUUAGAUACCCUGGUAGUCCACACCGUAAACGAUGAUUACUAGGUGUUGGAGGAUUGACCCCUUCAGUGCCGCAGUUAACACAAUAAGUAAUCCACCUGGGGAGUACGACCGCAAGGUUGAAACUCAAAGGAAUUGACGGGGGCCCGCACAAGCAGUGGAGUAUGUGGUUUAAUUCGACGCAACACGAAGAACCUUACCAAGUCUUGACAUCCUGCGACGAUGCUGGAAACAGUAUUUUCCUUCGGGACGCAGAGACAGGUGGUGCAUGGUUGUCGUCAGCUCGUGUCGUGAGAUGUUGGGUUAAGUCCCGCAACGAGCGCAACCCUUACUGUCAGUUACUACGCAAGAGGACUCUGGCAGGACUGCCGUUGACAAAACGGAGGAAGGUGGGGAUGACGUCAAAUCAUCAUGCCCUUUAUGACUUGGGCUACACACGUACUACAAUGGCGUUAAACAAAGAGAAGCAAGACCGCGAGGUGGAGCAAAACUCAGAAACAACGUCCCAGUUCGGACUGCAGGCUGCAACUCGCCUGCACGAAGUCGGAAUUGCUAGUAAUCGUGGAUCAGCAUGCCACGGUGAAUACGAACCCGGGCCUUGCAC